UUGUUGGUAAGGUAAAAGCUUACCAAGGCUUCGAUCAGUAGCUGGUCUGAGAGGACGACCAGCCACACUGGGACUGAGACACGGCCCAGACUCCUACGGGAGGCAGCAGUGGGGAAUUUUGGACAAUGGGGGCAACCCUGAUCCAGCCAUGCCGCGUGAGUGAAGAAGGCCUUCGGGUUGUAAAGCUCUUUCAGCCGGAACGAAACGGUUACGGAUAACACCCGUGACUACUGACGGUACCGGAAGAAGAAGCACCGGCUAACUACGUGCCAGCAGCCGCGGUAAUACGUAGGGUGCGAGCGUUAAUCGGAAUUACUGGGCGUAAAGCGUGCGCAGGUGGUUUUGUAAGUCAGAUGUGAAAGCCCCGGGCUCAACCUGGGAACUGCGUUUGAAACUACAAGACAAGAGUGUGGCAGAGGGGGGUGGAAUUCCGCGUGUAGCAGUGAAAUGCGUAGAGAUGUGGAGGAACACCGAUGGCGAAGGCAGCCCCCUGGGUCAACACUGACGCUCAGGCACGAAAGCAUGGGGAGCAAACAGGAUUAGAUACCCUGGUAGUCCAUGCCCUAAACGAUGUCAACUAGUUGUCGGGCCUUUACGGGCUUGGUAACGUAGCUAACGCGUGAAGUUGACCGCCUGGGGAGUACGAUCGCAAGAUUAAAACUCAAAUGAAUUGACGGGGACCCGCACAAGCGGUGGAUUAUGUGGAUUAAUUCGAUGCAACGCGAAAAACCUUACCUACCCUUGACAUGUAUCGAAGCCCGCAGAAAAGCGGGGGUGCCCGAAAGGGAACGAUAACACAGGUGCUGCAUGGCUGUCGUCAGCUCGUGUCGUGAGAUGUUGGGUUAAGUCCCGCAACGAGCGCAACCCUUGUCAUUAAUUGCCAUCAUUUAGUUGGGCACUUUAAUGAGACUGCCGG
rnacentral:rRNA from 1 species